rnacentral:lncRNA from 1 species
CCGUGUUCCUGGCCUUAACUCCCUCACCCCCGACGGAAUCUCUUGGCUGCUGUGUUUGAGAUUCUUACGUGAAAUGGGUUUUAAGCAGUGAUCUGAUCCACGGAGACGUGGGGGCUGCUUUCUGAGAUUCACACCCUUGUGUAAUUCCCUCCUUUGAGUGUGAGCUGAAUCGGUGACUCGUUUCAAAUCAACAGAAGACUGCAAAAUCGAUGGGAUGCGUGUGAUCACAUGUUCAGGAUUAUGGGACGUAAGACGGUGCUGUCUCCUGCCGGGGCACGCUCUCUCUGUCUCUCUCUCCCUUGAUGCUUUUGAGGAAGGAAGCUGCCAAGUUGUGAGCUGCCCUCGGGCCACAUGGCAUGGAACUGAAGCUGUCCCAUGGAACUAGGAGCUGUGGAUGAGAACUCAGCCCCAGCCGACACCUUGACUGCAGCCUCCCAGAGCACCCAGCUAAGCUGUGUCCGGACCGACAGAACCCUCCCAGCUCACCAAUGCAAUUCUUAGAGCAUCGGCUUGGAUGGGCUGGUCUCACAAAAUUGAUCACCUGGGACAGAAAGCACACCAUCUAUUGCUUUGGAGAUGUUGUGAAAGGAAGACAACUUGUGUUCCAAGUUUGACUCUGUACCCGGCACAUAGGAUGCUGCAGGGACCCCAGAGAUGGCAGAGGCACGAGAUGGAAGGAGCCCGCAUCCUUGAAUCAUCGUACAUCAACCCAGAGAACCCAUUUUCCACCCAGAUGUGAAAACUCAGGUCUGGAAAGAGACAGUCACAUCCCCAGUCUCCGCACACAGUAGGUGCUCAGAAUGAAGGCACAAGGUGAGUGCCUUUUUAAAGAUGAAGUUUUCACGUAACUGAGGUCCGGAGAAGUGAAGGGAUGUGUCCAGGAUCACACUCAAACGGUGGCACAGCGAGCGUGCACGUGGACCUGCCGGCGCCCCCUCAACUCUGUGGGCUCGCCCUCCCUCUCCUGCUGUCCUACUAAGAGUGACCUCCUGUGGCCUCCGGAGUUGCCUUGGGCCCUGGACUGGCUCUCCCAGAGGUGAGCCAGAAGCGCCGAGAAGUACCCUGCACCCGCUGUGGCCCGUAGCUGAUGACUGACCGGUGCAGAGGCGGGAAGCCCAGCUCCUUUCCACGCAGACGGAACAAACUCUGAGACGUGGUCCACGCUCCAGAGCCCCCACAGGCUCAGGUUGAGGCCGAUCCGGGGCUUUGCUUGGAAUCACGCCCCGACUUUGCCUUCAGAUGGUGAUAAACACAAGGGAGAGAAAGAGAAGGAGGCGGAUAGAAAUUACUCGGGGUGCGGGAGUGAUGCAGAUUUUAAAUAGGUUGGUCCGAGAAGCCCUCGCUGGAGGGGUUAACGUCGGAGGAGAGAUCAAAAGGUAAGG